UACGGGGGGGGGCAAGCGUUGUUCGGAAUUACUGGGCGUAAAGGGCUCGUAGGUGGCCAACUAAGUCAGACGUGAAAUCCCUCGGCUUAACCGGGGAACUGCAUCUGAUACUGGAUGGCUUGAGUUUGGGAGAGGGACGCGGAAUUCCAGGUGUAGCGGUGAAAUGCGUAGAUAUCUGGAGGAAUACCGGUGGCGAAGGCGGCAUCCUGGACCGGCAUUGACGCUGAGGAGCGAAAGCCAGGGGAGCAAACGGG
rnacentral:rRNA from 1 species